UCCUACCUAGUCACCAGCGUGUCUGGCCUUGCCGGCUCCCGGUCCCGGGGCCCCACCCUCAACUCCAGACAGGAGCCACCUGAGGGCAGGGGCUGUGCCUGACUCAUCCCUGGGUCCCCGCACCCUGGGCGGGGCCAGGCACGGGGGCUGGCUCCCUGCUCCCUGCUCCCUGCUCCGUGCACCUGGCCCAUCCGAGCUACUGGCCAUGCUGGGGAGAGGCCCUGGGUCCGGGAGGCAGCUCCGCAGCCCGCUCUGGGGCGGUUAAGGAGUGCGAGCCGGACUCGGACUGUCCGUCCUUCUGGCUCCUUCUGAGGACUGACAGGGCAGGUUCUGCAAACCCUCCAGCCUCCGGUGGCUUCACAGGUGACACGGGGAUGACUGCCCGCGAGCCAGCUCGGGAGGAUUGCUGGGAGCACUCCGUGCGCAGUGCUCUCUCUGGGUCCCCGACACGGACAGACGGACAGACGGACGGACGCGGGUUCCCGGGUGAAGGUGGGAGAAGGCGGGGCGCUCCUGCCCGCGCCCGGGAGCUGUUUCUGGGUCAAGGACCUUCCUCCAGGCCUGUGGGUGUGCACGGCCCCGGGUUAAGGACAGACCCUCUGAUGGGAAAGGCAGAUUUUAUAAACCAGAGCAGCUGCCUGAGGUUUCCAAGAGAAAAUUCUGCACAGUUUCUAACCAGGGUGACAGUUCCCCUCCACAGGAAGUUGCUUUUAUUAAGGAACUGAACAGAAGAAUCCCAGGUGAUGUACGGAGAUACUCUGCUCAUCAAAUUAACUCCAUACACCCCAAGUGAUUUCCUUCCAAAGAGGACAGUGUGGAAAGGAGGUGGGAGAGUAACUUCGCAGUGGAGACCCCUGACAAAUGCCACCUCAGUCACGUGAUCAAGUUGAACCAUGAGAAAAACAUCAAGCCCCACUUGAGGGACAGUCUACUACGAAAUACCUGACCAGUACCCCAUCAAAAACCAGAGAAGUCUGAGAAAUUAUCACGGCCAAGAGGAGCUUCAGGAAACACGAUGACUAACUGGGAUGUGGUGUCCUGGAUGGGAUCCUGCGACAGAAAAGGGACAUUGGGUAAACAGUGAGUGAGAUCCAAAUGAGUCGUGGAGUUUCAUUAAUAGCGGUGUACCACUGUGGGUUCCUCCAUUGCGAAAAAAUGUACCAUAGCCUGGGUGGCUCCUUCGGUAAA